CCUACGGGAGGCAGCAGUGGGGAAUCUUGCACAAUGGAGGAAACUCUGAUGCAGCGAUGCCGCGUGAGUGAAGAAGGCCUUUGGGUUGUAAAGCUCUUUUGUAGGGGAAGAUAAUGACUGUACCCUAAGAAUAAGGUCCGGCUAACUUCGUGCCAGCAGCCGCGGUAAUACGAAGGGACCUAGCGUAGUUCGGAAUUACUGGGCGUAAAGCGCGCGUAGGCCGUUGAGUUAGUUAAUUGUGAAAUCCCAAAGCUUAACUUUGGAACUGCAAUUAAAACUGCUCGACUAGAGUUUGAUAGAGGAAAGCGGAAUACAUAGUGUAGAGGUGAAAUUCGUAGAUAUUAUGUAGAACACCAGUUGCGAAGGCGGCUUUCUGGAUCAACACUGACGCUGAGGCGCGAAAGUAUGGGUAGCAAAGAGGAUUAGAUACCCUCGUAGUCCAUACCAUAAACGAUGAUUGCUAGAUGUUGGAAAUUUAUUUUCAGUAUCGCAGCUAACGCAUUAAGCAAUCCGCCUGGGGAGUACGACCGCAGGUUAAAACUCAAAUGAAUUGACGG
rnacentral:rRNA from 1 species